UGCCUCAUAUGCAAUAUAUGCCACUUGUAAGGUGCUUGCCAACUUAAAUUGGCUAUAAGUAGCGUAACUUACAAAGCCAAGAUCUCUAAUUUCCUCCCCGUCCCUGCCACACCCAGAAGCUUACACAGUAGGAGGGGUUGGCAGGUUGAAUUUCUGGUCCUUCAUCCCAGUCAGCCAGUAGGUAGUCUCAUUUCCUCUUCCCUAGUAAGACAAAAGAGUUAUGUACCACGGAGGCCAACGAGUCGGUUCAGUUGUAGCCCACUCUUCCCACAAUAAUCUGUUUCUAAGACAUACUUCACUUCCGCAUUUCUUAUCAGUGCCAAUAUUUAAGUGCAUCACACAUUCCUGUUAUGAUUUGCAUUAUCUCUAGACAAAUCUUUAUUUCCAAGUGCCUUUUUAAAAAUGUUUCUCAUUCAGCAGACAUCUUUUUCUCAGAGUAGAGUUUUCUUUUUUUCCCCAAAAGACAUUUUAAAAUAUCACUCUAGCAACAUCACAAGAACUCUAACUUAAAAAGGAGGAAAAUUCAUCUGCAAUUCUGCUACAUCAACAAAUCCAACUGGUUCCCAUUGUCCAUAUUUUCUUCUAGUCCUUUUUGCAAUAAAGUUUUGCCGCAAAACUUUUGCUACAGUUUCCCUACCUUGUUAUACACACAUGUACAUCAUGAUUAAGUACUCAUUAAGUGACAUUUGUGGGCCCCAUCUGGAGUGUAUGGAAAUUUACUGGAAUACUGGAAACUCAGUUUUUGCUAAAGCUGGUAUUUGAAAAAGAAACUGGAGAUAUACAUGUGUAUAUCUUUUUCAGAAUACAUAUGAUUCAAACACAGCCAGUGAGCCACCAUUUUUAAAAGAUGAAUUUAAUAAUUCAUUGGUUGUGUUUGGACCAUAGUAAUCCAUAAAUGGCUUCUAUUUUGGGGUAAAUGUUCUUUGUAAAAAAUGUAUUUAAAAAAAUACAUUUUUUACAAAGAACAUUUAUGGAGAACUCAAAAUAACUCAAAAGUGAUGUUAGAACACUUUUACAUAAUGGACUUUUCCAAGGUGCAGUCAAAAUGUAAAGGCCAGAAGCAUGAUGGCUGCUGGAGACAGGUAACUUACAGUUAAUAGUUGGCUUUGCCAGUUGUGAAAAGAUUGUAAUAACUUUGGAAAAGCAACCUGAGAAGCAACUGGAGACAGCUGAUGGCUUUGGAGGGCAGCUAUUUCAAAUGUGAGGAACAUGAAGAAUCUAAAGUAGUGAUUCUCAAACAUUAGUGUGGUCACAAAAACAUUAUAUUGUUAAAAAUACAGAUUUCUGAUCUACACCCAUAGAGAAUCUUGCAUAGCAGGCCUGGUGGAGUGUCCAGACAUCUGCAUUUUAACAAGCAUCUAGAUGAUGCCAAGUCAGGAGGAGAAUGGGCCCACACCUUGUGAUUCACACCUUGUGAUUCCAGAGCUUCUAAAUAGUAAUGCAACUGGCAAGAGAGGUGACCUCAGAUCAUAGCGUUAUGUAGUAAGAUUAGGGAAGAACUGGCACUCAGUUCUCUUCAGGAUGGCUAUAGUGGAGCCACUUACGUGAAUUCUCAAGGCUGGAUAUGCAAAAUAGUUGCCCUCUGGUGGAAGACAGAGUCUUUUGUCUUCUGAGAAAAACCAUCCCCCUGCUUACGGAGGCCAGUGGAUUCCAUCCUAGAGGCUGUGUUGACUGUAUCUCCAAAUAGGCAGUAACGAGGCAUCUUGAUUCCCACGACUCCAGCAGCGCAGGGACCUGAAAUGAAGGACAGAAAGCAGGAAGUAGAGGCAAUAGAAAUUGCAGAGUAGAGUGAAAACAGGUAAGCUUCUUGGCACGGUCACAAUCCUGAAUACUUCCUGUAAUAGAGAAGUGGCUGAGGUUGUAAAAUGUGAACUGGGACUUUUGCUUUAAAUGGAUGAAUCCAAUGAAGCAUCAUUAUUGAAUGCAUGCGAUCAUAAAGUAUUUUGCUCUCGAAAAGAAAACAAUAUGUGUAGCAAACAGGAAGACAUCCGGAGUUCCAGAUCACAAAGGUGAUUUUAAAUAGAAGGCUCUCAGGAACGAUGAAGAUGAGCCCACUGCCUGCUUACUCUGCCAAACCACACGACCCUGAAUUUCACACUGAUGGGGAGCACUGUAGACUUGAAGCCUCAAUGGUUCAAGUUUGAUUUAUUUUUAUUUUAAGGUGGCAUUUCUGGGAUUGGUGGCAUGACAAUGGAAGACAGAAGACAAGACAAAGGCAUAACCUUCCUUAAGCAUUUCAUGAGCCAGGCGAAUGCAGCUGGAUGGGGAAGCCUGUGGCACAAGGAGGUUCUAGCAAGCCGAAGGCGAGACUAUGCACUGUGGUAUAUUAGGUAGGAAAGAAGGGUUAGUCAGUCAAGUAUCUGCAUAAAAUGACUGAAUGCAAGGAGUUACCACUUUAAGAAGUUAAAGAUUAACUCAGAAACUGCAAAGCUGGGUUUUAGGCAAUGCCUUGCAAAAGAUUAAUCUAGAUAACUUCUGAGUUCCUCUCCUACUAUGUUUUUCCAUAACACCUGUAACUCAUCUCAAAUCUUGAUGUUCAAGGCUACUGAAUUAAACUGUUUGGCCUGAGACAGCCUCUUAGGGGACCCUACACAACAAACUCCAACCUAGCUUGAUCUAUAAACAAACUAAGAGCCUAGCUCAGGUACUUACGUUACAAAUAGCUGAGUCUCAGCCAAUCACAGUAGCUGAGCUUCAGCCAAUCACAGGCUGCCAACUGAUUGGACCUUGACCAAAUCAGGGAAACAUGGAGCUCUGGCCAAUCAAGUUGUUUCUGUCUCUCACUCCUGUUUUCUGUCUAUAAACACUGCCUGCCCACCUUACCCAGGGAAGCUCUCUGAACCUCUUCUGGUUCUAAGGGCCAUCUGAUUUGAAAAUUGUUCAUUGCUCAAUUAAACUGUGUUAAAUUAUUUGGUAUGCAUAAAGCUUUUUUUUUAA